UACGGAGGGGGCUAGCGUUGUUCGGAAUUACUGGGCGUAAAGCGCACGUAGGCGGCUUGUCACGUCGGGUGUGAAAGCCCCGGGGCUUAACCCCGGGUCUGCAUUCGAUACGGGCUGGCUAGAGUGUGGUAGGGGAGAUCGGAAUUCCUGGUGUAGCGGUGAAAUGCGCAGAUAUCAGGAGGAACACCGGUGGCGAAGGCGGAUCUCUGGGCCAUUACUGACGCUGAGGAGCGAAAGCGUGGGGAGCGAACAGG
rnacentral:rRNA from 1 species